GAAUGCAUUCGGCCCAUGGCCUGUUAAAGUUUUUUUUUUUUUGAGGCGGCCAGACUUGGAACACUCAGGAAUACAGACAGACGUAGGAAUUGCUUAAAAAGAAGAAGUUCUCCCACCCUUGUUGGAGCGAACGCGCGAGUCUGACAGUGAACCUUUUGGGAAAGAGCCAGCAUUGUAACCGUGCUCGGUGAUUUCUCUGGCUUUAUAGGGAACAGAUGUGAGGAUAGCAAGGGGCGCACAUGUGAAAUGCCUGGCAGGUACCCCUUUGUGGCUCUACUUACUUCUUGCCAUUCCUCUGCCCUCCAAGUGUAGAGGGGACACCGUGGGCCUUGGCAGUCGCGUUCCGACUCCGGUCUGGUGUAUGGGUUGCACUCGGUCUCUCUGGCUAUUUUGUGUGUUCCGAUCUGACAGCCCACAUGCCUCUGCUGUACGCCUCGGCCACAGGACACAGAGCACUAAGAAGACAGAGAAUCGCCAGUUUGGAUAAUAUCUCAAGGCUUAAUAGGGAAGGAAGGUGGCAUUGAAAAAAAAAAUGUCCACAGCAUUACAGCAGCAAUCCUGUGUGGCAUUUUUGGCUCACUCAAGACUGUGGGUAAAUCCUGAGAACUGGAGCCAAAAAUAAAGCUCAUGAACCUGAAAUUACCAUGAAAUUCUGAUUUUAAGAAGUCCUACUAUGAAAUAGUGAUAUAUUUCUUCAACAAAAUGCCUUGUGAUUCACUGACUGGGAUAAAGGUGCAUUUCCAAAAUACAACUAUGUUCAAUUUCUUAAUUAAAUGAUUUAAGAAUAAAACUCUUCAACCAUUUUCCAGAGGAUAAGCUCUCAUUUUCCCAGUCCAUUGGGAAGAGGUGAAAAAGGCACGUUAGAAACUGAAAGGUAAGCUAGCAGGAAAGAGGCGAAGAUAAUACAAGGACCCACUCUAUGCCUGCCAUGGGAUUAUUUAUGAAAGCCGUCUGGAAGACAGGGAGGGCGGUGGGUGAGAAAUUUGUUCCAGAGGAAUAUGGAAAGAGAAAUUCUGCUGUGAGAAAUUCAUAGAACUACCUGGCAGAAAAGGAAGGGUGAUAUUGCCUCCCAGGGAACAUUUGGCAACGUCUGAAGAUAUUUUUCACUGUCACAACCGAGGGGAUUCACAGUCUGGUGAGACAAGUUUGAGAUCUCAUAUUUUCAGCUCAUCCUUGAAAACCUUUCUUUGUUUUGACUGACCUUGAUGGCUCCCUGGAAUCUCACCUACAUUUUAUGGGAAAUUCAACUCUCCAGAGAGAAGAGCUUUCAGAUAGCUACGGGACUUGCAACUACCACUUUCAGCUUUCACUUUUGAAUGAGGCUCCAAAUGUCUCAAUGGUGGCACUAUUUCCAGAUUUGGGAGCCCUGCAAAGCUAAUCUGCUCAACCUUCACCUACUGGGUUCAAUGAAUAUGAAAAGCUGCCUUCCUGAAACUUUUCCUUCAAAGAGGGAAUGAUCUCCUGGAAUUCAAGCUUCUACAAGGUGGCUACCUGGUGUUUUCCACUUUUGCCGUCUCCUAAAAAGCAUCAAUCAAGCCUUGCCCUUUCAACCCACUGAACACAUAAACAUGCUUUCUCCUUAACUGAACUUAUGGCCACGAUGAACUUGAACUCUGAGAUUCACAGAGGAGAGUUUGUUUUAACAGCUGCUUUUACAAUGAAGCCCUGGAGUUACUACUCUCAAGACCUCUGGUUCUGAUAGGCCAUCUUUUCACUGUCCUCUGCAUUUUCUAAUGCCCAGCUGUCAAGGAACACCCACUGAAGUUUUCCAAAACAAAGGCACGAAACACAAGAAAGGCAAGAGAAUGCUAAUCACCGGAUGCAUGGGCAUCCUAUGGGGGAACCCCUUACAUGUGGAAUACGGUUUUUCUCCCCAAUUUAUUUUUAUAAAUUUAUUGAUUUAUUUGCUAGUUUGUUAUUAAUUGUUAGAGAUGUCCUGUUGCCUGAGGUUGCCCUGUCCAAUAUGGUAGCCACCAGCGACAGGUAGUUAUUUAGAGUAAUUAAAAAAUUACAUUAAAAAUGCAGUUUCCUUGUCACUUAACCAUGUUUCAAGUGCUCAGUAUUAACCACAUGUGACUAGUGGCUUCCAUAAAGGAAGGCAAAAAUAGAGAACAUUUACAUCGCUGCAGAAAGCUACUAGAUUCUUUUGGCCAAGGCAUAAGCUCUUUCUCAUAAGAGAAAGGGGAUGCAGAUCUUGCUAAGAGUGAUGGAUUUCUGGGUUCAGCCUACAUGAGUCAUCUUCCAUACUACCCCUGGACAUGCUUUCCUUGGCUGCCAAUUUUCUAUUUUAUAAAUUUCAGGAAAGAGAGAUUAUGGUUGUAAAACCAUUCAUGACAAUGAUCCCACUUUAGAGAAAACAACAGCAACAAGCAAAGAAGAUGGUGUGGAGAUCCGCACAUUCCACAUCUUUUAAUUGGUACCCAUUAAAUAACAAAGGGAAAAAGUACCCUCAGACCACAACUCUCCACCUUGUGUGGAGGCCAAGGACCCAGCAGGGAGAAGGCAGAAGAUUAGGUUCUCCACUCAUCCUGGCUCUCAGACCACUGAACUCACAUUUGGGUUCUAAUGGAAUGGUGAUUGGAAGCAUAUUCUCCAAUAGGAGGUUUUUAAAAGUUCUGUUCCAUCAGCCAGGCAGCAUCUGUCAUUUAAAAUGACUGGCCAGUUGCACGUUUAAAAGCAAAGAUAAAGUUGCUAAUUUAUACUUACUGAAUAAACAUCAGCAGUGUCCAUGAAGGUACCUACCCUAAUAGCAAGUUGUAUUUUUAUUUUUAUGGUGGUGGCGAAGCUGCCAGGAAAACCAAAGCAUCAGUUCUUUAAUUACAUUUGUUUAGUAUUGAUUUAAUACUAAAAUUUCUCUUGCUCCCUUAGAACAAAGAGCUCUAACUCGUACACUGCUGUAUCCUUAGCACCUGGAACAGUCCCUGGCCUACAGUAGGCACUUAGAAAGUAUUUGUUAAAAAUUGAUUUUUUUUUUUUUAAAGAAACAACCCAGAGUUUUUUUAUUCUGCCCCAACCCCCAACCCCUGGCAUUAAAAUAAAUCUUCCUCAACUGCCAUCACUAAUCACCAGGAUUCCCUCCUAGCCAAUUAUGCUUGGACUCAACCUCUACCUCCCACUCCACAUUCCAAAGUUUCUAUUUCUUUCCAUUCCAGAAGGGCAACUCCACAACAAGAGUGAGGGAGAGGACCUGGACUCCUCCUCAGAGUCCAAUAACACUCCUAACCCUGCUCCCCCAACCUGUGGACUUUUUAAAUCCAUGAAAAUAGAACCUGUCAAGCUACCACAAAAUAGCAUCAGAAGGCAGGAUCAGUCUUUCAUGGGCAUACAAUCUCUGUAAAUACUGAAAAAAGAUUAUUAAAAGCCUGCUAAGUUUUGUCUCCAGUGAAAUAGAUGCAGGCAAGUAUUUUGAUUGUUCUGAACACAUUAGAGAUGAGUGCUACACAGAACUAAGGUAAACUUUGUAAAUUUGUAUGUGAUAACACUUUGUUCCACAAAAAACUAUCUUAUUUUUUAUACUCCAUACUGAUACAGCCAAAUAAUGUGGCUCUUAUUUUCUAAAGAUGCUAGCAAUAUGUUUAAACAUGUCUUCAUUGUAGUAAAAGUAUCAUAUUUAUAAAAAAUACAUAUGCAUUUAAUGUGAUAUUCCUUAUAGUCAAAAUCUUGAUAUCAUCCUCCUAAUCUGGCUAAAAAUGUAUCUGUAAAAUGAAAGAGAGGAAUAUUUUGCCAUUCCCUAAACAACAGUUGUUUGAAGCUUUUGUAAUUGCUGGUUAUGGGAAUUUACCAAUAACAGGAAUGAAUUUGGAUUUUCUUUUGCUGGAAUCAAAUGGACAAUGUCAUAAUUAGCUAAAUAAUGUUGAGGCUAAAUGAAGUUUGAGUUUUAGGCACAUCCUUUAUGGAAUAUAAACAGGAACCUAAAAGUUAAUUCUGAACGUAGGUUGUUUCUUUCUGCCAAAACAAUAUUAAUAGUCAGUACCCUAACGACGAGGUCCUAUCACUGAAGUAGAUUAUUGGCUAGUCAAAUGGGUUCCUAACAGCACCUCCCUCAUGGGUUAAAACAAGAGGGUUAAUGUGAUGUGCAUUUGCUUAAUUUGGCUUGUUAUACAGUAAACACACAGCAAACGUUAGCUAUUGUUAUCGUCAUUUCCUUUGGAGAAGUUAUCUUAUUUCUCACCUUAUUAAAAAUAAACCCUAACUCAUAUAGGGACCCUCCUUACCUUGGUCCUUUCACCCAUGAAUACCAUAAUAACCUAUACUGCAAAAAGGAGGCUCAGGAGGAGGAUGAGGUAUCAAUAGGCCUCCGGGACAUUUUUAUGAUUUAGGUAUUUUUUGAAAAGGGUAGGCUCUCUUGAAACUUCCAAGGUAGUUGUUGUAGUACUUUAUUUUCCUUUAAUAAGAAAUGCUUUCUGAAAUGUAUUGCAGUGAACAAAUAACAAAAUUGACAAAUGCUGUAAGCCUUUUACAGUUAUCUGAACACACAGAAUAAAGUGUAAUCAAAUUUAUGCACAUUAGGUUUGCUUUUUCCUGUACCUAGCUGUCUCUUAUGUGUUCAGAACCAUUUCUUCCAAUCACCUUUUUUUGUCUUCUGGCUAUAAUUUAUCAUUAUCUACAAAUUCAAUAAAUGGAGCAUGCAUAUUUCAUAGUUGAGACUCAAUAACUCAGGACAACAGUAUUAGAAAAGAAAAAAUACCCAACAAAAUGUUAAGCCUCAUAUAUUUUUGUUUAUAAAUCUAAGCAUCAUUUCCAACUCAGAAAUAUGUUUUUAAAGUAUCCCUUUAAAAUACAUACUUGAAGCUGUCUAAUUACACAAAGCUAGAUAUUUGGCUAUUCAGAUUUGAGGGAGGGGUUGUACAGGUUGGAGGGAAUUUACAAAAUUAAAAUGUAUCUUUUUAAAACCGAAAGAAACAUAUACAUUCAUUUCUAAUCCACAGAGCCUACUUGCCUUUACAGUCUGCUGAUAAACACUGAUUUUUUAAACAUUGUAUAUAAAAUUAAAUAACAUGAAAAAAUAAAUAUGCUUUAUUAUAUAACACAUAGAAAUCUGUACUGCUCAAAAUAUUCAGAAAAUUCUAGGUGUGGCUGCUUAAAACUGUGUUUAGAAAAUAUGGUAGUGAUAUUUACAAUCUUUAUUCCUUCUAGGGAGAGAAGCAGUGAGGUUAUAAAAUACUGGUAUCAAACAUUUUCUCUUCCUACCUACAGAAGCUGCAAACUUUAAUACGAAAAUGAGGUAGACAAAAAUUCAUAAGUUAGCCAGGCAGAAACAAAAGCACAAUUCCUUCAUGAGCUCAUAAAUUCUCAUUACUUGGGUCGACAAGCAUUAUUCCAAUGCACCUAAAGCAAGGCUCAGAGAACAUUCUUAGGUUUGUCAUGAAAAACCCAAACAAGCAAUUUCUCCUAAGGAGAAGCACAGUUUCCAAGGUGAUCAGCAAGCAGGUUGACAGGGCAAUGCACAAAGGAACACCGAAGACCCAUCUUGGAUACAUGGUAUCACCUAGCAGACUUAUAAUCUGUGAUUAUCUAGAUGAAUUAGCUUUCUCUAGAACGCUCUGGAUUUUUAGCCUACUUUCUGCUGUGGUUUGACAGUAUAGAGGUCUCUUUCCAAUUUACUCCUCAAGUCAUAGGACAUAUGCAUUGACUACUUAGUGUCCUCCUGGGACUGACUGCAGGAGUCGACUGAAAGGCAUGUGAGUUUAAGAACCUUAUUUCAGGCUGGGCAUGGUGGCUCAUGUCUGUAAUCUCAGAACUUUGUGAGGCCAAGGCAGCGGAUCACCUGAAGUCAUGAGUUUGAAACCAGCCUGGCCAACAUGGCGAAACCCCGUCUCUACUAAAAAUACAAAAAUUAGCCAGGUGUGGUGGUGGGCACCUAUAAUCCCGGCUACUUGGGAGGCUGAGGCAUGAGAAUCACUUGAACCCGGGAGGAGGAGGUUGCAGUGAGCCGAGAUCGCACCACUGCACUCCAGCCUGGGCAACAGAGCAACACUCUGUCUCAAAAAAAAAAAAAGAACCUUAUUUCAAAAACAAACAUUACCAAAAAAAGAGUCCAAAGGCCCAUUUUAAAAAGGAUAGAAAAGGUUGAAUUUCUGGAGGGUAUUUCUCACCAUCACGAUUCUUAAAUCCGCAAUGACUUGAGCCAGAACCAAUGGCUGAUCUAAGAUGGUGACUUAAACCCUAGGUUCACAGAAGCUUCAUUUUAGGGACGCUGGAAGCUAUAUUAAUAGUGAUUUGGGGUUUCUUUCCUAAAUACUGCUCUUUAGUAACAAGUGUUGAAGUAGGCUAUCUCCAUUUUGACCUUGGAGAAGGCUAAUUCACACAGCAGCAGUUGCUUCUUGACAUCAUCUAAUGCAUGGGAGUACUGGGAGAGAGAAAGCAACCAGGCAGAAGGAUUAAUUGCUACCCUUGGUCCCUAAUAAAUCUAAGUUGCUUUCUGUUGAAAGCAACAUGUUAGCACCUCCAACAUACUUUUUAUUGUUGUUAGUUUCACCGUCAGUUACAAUGAUGAAGCACCAUGGAAGUGGCUUUAUGGCUAUUAACACAAUUACUGAGGUAUGCUUACAUUUGGAAUUACCAAGAUAUUAUACCAAAGCAUCCACAGAAAUAAACAUACAAUUAAAAUCAAAACUCUACAGUAAGAAUCUGAAAGACUGCCCUCUCACUCAUAUAUUUAGGAAAAGUAAUAUAUUACAAAGGUAUUUUAAAGAGAAUGCUUUUGAUUUAAUUUUUUAAGAUCACAAUUAAAAGCCUUGCAGAAGUGGCCUUUCUCUUAGACUGUAGAGGCUUCGCAUAUUUGAAUAAUGAUCACUUUAUAAAGAAACCACUGAAAUCAUAUAGGCAGCAAAAUGAUUUUAAAAAUGCAUGCACUUGCUUCUGUGCAUACUAGAGCAUUAUAAUUUCUUUCUCUCUCUCUCUUUCUUCCUCUGUUUCAGAGAACUGUGUGCAGGCCCAAGGAGAACAACUACAUGAAAUAAACCUUAUGUUUUCAGUUACAAUAAUUAGCAGUUCAUGUUUUCAAAUUUAAACAUUUAUGCUCUUAAAAUAUCUGCAGGGGAGGGUAGUGAUCCUGUGUGAAAAAAAAUUUAGUGUAUUUAGAAAGUGUUUAAGGAAGAGAAUACCAUGGAAAUUAAUUUAUAAUUCUCUAAGACUUAUGUUUUUCCCCGUUUUCCCAAAUAAUUCUUCCUGGAGAGGUAAAUAUAGAAUAAUCAAUGGAACUGAGAUGAUCAGUGGAAUUGAGUCUGGGAAGAGAAAUGCAGGUUUCUUUUUUUCACCAAACCACAAGAACAUGCAAUAAAUAGGCUUGUGUGUUUCUUCCUAAGGGUUAAGAGAUUUUUUUUUUCUUUGGGUCAAAGUUAAUGAACUACGACUUUGUGGAGAGCUAGUAGACUUUCUAAAACAUAACUCUGGUACUGGUAUUGCUGUUGGUCUAGUGAACUGGGUGAUAAUACAAUGAGCUUAAGAGGGAAUUUCAUGAAAAAUAAUAUAUAAUAGGAGAUGAGGGAAGUUGGGAAUGUCAGAAGAUGUUCCUGAGAUUCUAAGGUUAUUUCUGAUAUUCAAAAAUGUUCAUCUGGGGAAGGUGCCAUUAUUGUAGGGAAAAUGCUCCUGCUGAACUGACUAGAGAUACAACAGACCGGAGCUCUCUGACUCAGAGUGGCGUUUCUUAAGUUAUGGAAGAAAAUACUUACAGUCCAGCUAAAUAGUACCAGUGGAGAUAAUGCUCCAAAUUCUUCUAGAUUUCUACUUAAUACAAAGUAUGGUGAUUAUAUAGUUAGUGUUACACCUGCAGACACAACCCCAGCCAUUGAAACCCUUGACUCUUAGAAAUGUCAACAGGUAUUAACCAUGUCACUUCACUUAAUCUGCUCUUUAGCUGGUUUCAGGGAUGGUUAAGACUUCUGAGAACCAUAUUGGGUAAAAAAACAUUCUGGAUAUGACUUAAUACAAUACUAAAUUCAGCUUCAGUGCAAUUAAUGUAUUUACAGGACCAUUUUUCCUCUAUUUACAUGAAACAGCCCUAACGGUUCCACAGCUUAUGGGCACAACUCAGCCAAAGUAUUGUU